UACGGAGGGUGCGAGCGUUGUCCGGAAUCACUGGGCGUAAAGGGCGCGUAGGUGGCGACCCAAGUCGAUGGUGAAAGCUCGCCGCUCAACGGCGAGUCGGCCACCGAUACUGGGUUGCUGGAGCACUGUAGAGGCAGAUGGAAUUCCGGGUGUAGCGGUGGAAUGCGUAGAGAUCCGGAAGAACACCGGUGGCGAAGGCGGUCUGCUGGGCAGUUGCUGACACUGAGGCGCGACAGCGUGGGGAGCAA
rnacentral:rRNA from 1 species